rnacentral:rRNA from 1 species
AGGGCGCACGGUGGAUGCCUUGGCACUAGGAGCCGAUGAAGGACGGGACUAACACCGAUAUGCUUUGGGGAGCUGUAAGUAAGCUAUGAUCCAGAGAUUUCCGAAUGGGGGAACCCAAUAUCUUUUAUAGGAUAUUACUUUUCAGUGAAUACAUAGCUGAUUAGAGGUAGACGCAGAGAACUGAAACAUCUUAGUACCUGCAGGAAGAGAAAGAAAAAUCGAUUCCCUGAGUAGCGGCGAGCGAAACGGGAAGAGCCCAAACCAACAAGCUUGCUUGUUGGGGUUGUAGGACUCCAAUAUGGUAGUCUGUUAGUAUAGUUGAAGGAUUUGGAAAAUUCCGCUAAAGAGGGUGAAAGCCCCGUAGACGAAAUGCUAACAACACCUAGGAGGAUCCUGAGUACGGCGGAACACGAGAAAUUCCGUCGGAAUCCGCGGGGACCAUCCCGCAAGGCUAAAUACUCCCUAGUGACCGAUAGUGAACCAGUACCGUGAGGGAAAGGUGAAAAGCACCCCGGAAGGGGAGUGAAAUAGAUCCUGAAACCGUGUGCCUACAACAAGUCAAAGCUCGUUAAUGAGUGAUGGCGUGCCUUUUGUAGAAUGAACCGGCGAGUUACGAUUGCAUGCGAGGUUAAGUCGAAGAGACGGAGCCGCAGCGAAAGCGAGUCUGAAUAGGGCGAAUGAGUAUGUAGUCGUAGACCCGAAACCAUGUGAUCUACCCAUGUCCAGGUUGAAGGUGCGGUAAAACGCACUGGAGGACCGAACCCACGUACGUUGAAAAGUGCGGGGAUGAGGUGUGGGUAGCGGAGAAAUUCCAAACGAACUUGGAGAUAGCUGGUUCUCUCCGAAAUAGCUUUAGGGCUAGCCUCGGAAUUGAGAAUGAUGGAGGUAGAGCACUGUUUGGACUAGGGGCCCAUCUCGGGUUACCGAAUUCAGAUAAACUCCGAAUGCCAUUCAUUUAUAUCCGGGAGUCAGACUGCGAGUGAUAAGAUCCGUAGUCGAAAGGGAAACAGCCCAGACCACCAGCUAAGGUCCCAAAAUAUAUGUUAAGUGGAAAAGGAUGUGGGGUUGCACAGACAACUAGGAUGUUGGCUUAGAAGCAGCCACCAUUUAAAGAGUGCGUAAUAGCUCACUAGUCGAGUGACCCUGCGCCGAAAAUGUACCGGGGCUAAACAUAUUACCGAAGCUGUGGACUACACCAUUAGGUGUAGUGGUAGGAGAGCGUUCUAAGGGCGUUGAAGGUCGAUCGUGAGGACGGCUGGAGCGCUUAGAAGUGAGAAUGCCGGUAUGAGUAGCGAAAGACAGGUGAGAAUCCUGUCCACCGUAUGACUAAGGUUUCCUGGGGAAGGCUCGUCCGCCCAGGGUUAGUCGGGACCUAAGCCGAGGCCGAUAGGCGUAGGCGAUGGACAACAGGUUGAUAUUCCUGUACCAGUUGUUUUUGUUUGAACAAUGGAGGGACGCAGUAGGCUAAGGAAUGCAUGCGAUUGGAAGUGCAUGUCCAAGCAAUGAGUCUUGAGUAGAGUUAAAUGCUUUACUCUUUAAGGACAAGUUGUGACGGGGAGCGAAAUAAUAGUAGCGAAGUUCCUGAUGUCACACUGCCAAGAAAAGCUUCUAGUGAGAAAACAACUGCCCGUACCGUAAACCGACACAGGUAGUCGAGGAGAGUAUCCUAAGGUGAGCGAGCGAACUCUCGUUAAGGAACUCGGCAAAAUGACCCCGUAACUUCGGGAGAAGGGGUGCUGACUUCGGUCAGCCGCAGUGAAUAGGCCCAAGCGACUGUUUAUCAAAAACACAGGUCUCUGCAAAAUCGUAAGAUGAAGUAUAGGGGCUGACGCCUGCCCGGUGCUGGAAGGUUAAGAGGAUGGGUUAGCUUCGGCGAAGCUCAGAAUUGAAGCCCCAGUAAACGGCGGCCGUAACUAUAACGGUCCUAAGGUAGCGAAAUUCCUUGUCGGGUAAGUUCCGACCCGCACGAAAGGCGUAACGAUUUGGGCACUGUCUCAACGAGAGACUCGGUGAAAUUUUAGUACCUGUGAAGAUGCAGGUUACCCGCGACAGGACGGAAAGACCCCAUGGAGCUUUACUGUAGUUUGAUAUUGAGUGUUUGUACCACAUGUACAGGAUAGGUAGGAGCCGAUGAGACCGGAACGCUAGUUUCGGAGGAGGCGCUGGUGGGAUACUACCCUUGUGUUAUGAACCCUCUAACCCGCACCACUAAUCGGGGUGGGAGACAGUGUCAGAUGGGCAGUUUGACUGGGGCGGUCGCCUCCUAAAAGGUAACGGAGGCGCCCAAAGGUUCCCUCAGAAUGGUUGGAAAUCAUUCGAAGAGUGU